UGUUUGCCCUUGGGAUCUAGGAGCUUUCCCAGCAGAAGGAGGACAGGAGGGACAGAGGGCGGGAUGGAUAGCUGUGUCACUGCCUGCUGCAGUUUUCCCCGGGGUUUUAGAGAGGAUUUCCUCUGUGUCUGAGGGAGUGAACCCGGGGGCCCUGCGCUGCUCCAGCCACCCCUCCCAGGGAUGUUGCUGAGGGCAGGGAAAGAGUGUGGAGAGUGACCAGGAGCCAGCCCAGAGCUCCCCAGGCCCCUGUGCACCUUUGGCCAUAUCUAUUCACAUCUGGCUCCCACAGCCUUAGCUGACCGCCGUGCAGUGCCCAGUUCCCUGUGGCAGAAGGGGAUCCCAGCACACCCUGGAAAGUGUUCUCAUCUGUGCUCCGUUCCAGAUGAGGUUGCUGGGAAGGCUUCUCCAUCAGCUUGGAUGAAUAAAGUUUUGAAGUCCUUGGAGCCUCCUGCAGAUGUGUCUACAGGGAGGACUUCUCCAGCUCCUACCUUGGAUGUUGCACUCAAGCCCAGCUCCCAUCACAGUGGUACUCCAACAGGGAAAAUCCAAGAUACAAUAGAUAAGAUAUCCCUGGAACCAUCCAAAGAGAUGAGGCAAGAGCUGAAGGAACCCCUGCAGACAAGAGAAG